rnacentral:rRNA from 1 species
GUCCACGCCGUAAACGAUGGCCACUCGGUGUCAGCAUUAAGUGUUGGUGCCCAAGCGAAAGCGUUAAGUGGCCCACCUGGGGAGUACGCCGGCAACGGUGAAACUCAAAGGAAUUGACGGGGUCGCACAAGCGGUGGAGCAUGUGGUUUAAUUCGAUGGUACGCGAGGAACCUUACCCGGGCUAGAAUGUGAGGGAAUAUACCAGAGAUGGUAUAGUCAGCAAUGACCCGAAACAAGGUGCUGCAUGGCUGUCGU